UCCUGGUCUACGAAUUCCUGCCGAACGGGAGCCUCGAUCGCUUCGUAUUUGGUAACUCCGAGCUUGCAAACACAUCUCGAUCCCUGUAAGUUCUCCUCUCCUGAUCUGGAAAUGUGUUCCUUCCCUGAGAACCAGGUGAAGCGCGCGGUGUCCAGAGCUUGGCGUGGAGAGAUCGGCUGAGGAUUGUGGUGGGGGUGGCCGAGGGCCUGGCGUACCUCCACGGAGGGUCGGAGACGAGGGCGAUCCACAGGGAUAUCAAGUGCAGCAACGUUCUUCUGGACGAGAAGAUGAACGCCAGAAUAGCCGACUUCGGGCUCGCCCGCCUCUUCCCCGUCGACCGGACCCAUCUCACCGCCUCCC
rnacentral:lncRNA from 1 species